GGCUCGAUGGUGUAGUUGGUUAUCACGUCAGUCUAACAUUCGCAACGAGUGUUGUUCACUGAAGGUCUCCAGUUCAAGUCUGGGUCGAGUCA